CAUGUCUAGCUUGCUAGAUGAUGUCGAGUGGCGGACGGGUGAGUAAUGCUUGGGAACUUGCCUUUGCGAGGGGGAUAACAGUUGGAAACGACUGCUAAUACCGCAUAAUGUCUUCGGACCAAACGGGGCUUCGGCUCCGGCGCAAAGAGAGGCCCAAGUGAGAUUAGCUAGUUGGUGAGGUAAAGGCUCACCAAGGCAACGAUCUCUAGCUGUUCUGAGAGGAAGAUCAGCCACACUGGGACUGAGACACGGCCCAGACUCCUACGGGAGGCAGCAGUGGGGAAUAUUGCACAAUGGGGGAAACCCUGAUGCAGCCAUGCCGCGUGUGUGAAGAAGGCCUUCGGGUUGUAAAGCACUUUCAGUUGUGAGGAAAAGUUAGUAGUUAAUACCUGCUAGCCGUGACGUUAACAACAGAAGAAGCACCGGCUAACUCCGUGCCAGCAGCCGCGGUAAUACGGAGGGUGCGAGCGUUAAUCGGAAUUACUGGGCGUAAAGCGCACGCAGGCGGUUUGUUAAGCUAGAUGUGAAAGCCCCGGGCUCAACCUGGGACGGUCAUUUAGAACUGGCAGACUAGAGUCUUGGAGAGGGGAGUGGAAUUCCAGGUGUAGCGGUGAAAUGCGUAGAUAUCUGGAGGAACAUCAGUGGCGAAGGCGACUCCCUGGCCAAAGACUGACGCUCAUGUGCGAAAGUGUGGGUAGCGAACAGGAUUAGAUACCCUGGUAGUCCACACCGUAAACGCUGUCUACUAGCUGUUUGUGACUUUAAGUCGUGAGUAGCGAAGCUAACGCGAUAAGUAGACCGCCUGGGGAGUACGGCCGCAAGGUUAAAACUCAAAUGAAUUGACGGGGGCCC
rnacentral:rRNA from 1 species